UAUAAUUGUUUUCUUAUCUAGGUUAUCUUGAAGAAAAUAGCAUCUUGAGAUUCAAUAAAGAUUGUAAACCGUGAGAAAAGUGGCACUUUAAGAUUCAUAAAGAUUUACUAAAUAUAGAAUAUAUAUCGAUG